CUAAUAUCUGCCAAUCGAAGAGCAAGUUCGCCUGCUCCUUCUUUAUGACUAUUGUUCUGACAAAAAAGCAGCCAGUUCUAUCACUGACAUCGAUGCCGUGUUCUGCCUGCACAGAACACGGCAUUGAUGUCGCCAGAAGAACUGCAUACAAUUGCAGUUCUUCUGGUGACGCUUCAAAAAUGGAGAUCAGGGCCUUGAAGACUGAUGAUGCUCCGACUGCCCAUCCAAGUUUAAUGAUGACACCCUGGAGAUGAACAACUGACAGACAACACACGAGUUGGGCAAGGCACUGAAUGUCAGCCAAACCA
rnacentral:lncRNA from 1 species